rnacentral:rRNA from 1 species
UUGGCCUACGGGGGGCAGCAGUAGGGAAUAUUGCUCAAUGGGGGAAACCCUGAAGCAGCAACGCCGCGUGGAGGAUGAAGGUUUUCGGAUUGUAAACUCCUUUUGUUAGAGAAGAUAAUGACGGUAUCUAACGAAUAAGCACCGGCUAACUCCGUGCCAGCAGCCGCGGUAAUACGGAGGGUGCAAGCGUUACUCGGAAUCACUGGGCGUAAAGAGCGCGGGCGGGAAGCCAAGUCAGCUGUGAAAACUACGGGCUUAACUUGUAGACUGCAGUUGAAACUGGUUUUCUUGAGUGAAGUAGAGGU